GAUUUAAGGGUGCCACUGAUUUCUCCAUCAAAUCAAAUCUGGGUUCUAGGGUUUUUUUUGUUGCGAAAAAGGUAAGUUUCAUCCGAUUAUUCAAGACAGACAAAGAACAACAGAGAGAAGCAGCAUAUGGUAGCGAGAGAGAGAGAGAUGAGAGCAGGCAGAGAGACGUCGGCGGUAGUGAGACGGUGGUGGCGUUGAGGGUUCCGUCAACUGUGAAUUAGAUCUUCGAGGAAAAAAGAUUACUCUUAUAGAGAAUCUAGGUGCUACUGAGGUUAGUGUUUAUGUUUUCCGAUUUCUAGGGUUUCAAAUUGUGCGAUUGAUUCAUAAUGUAACCGUUGGAUUUGGCGUUUUGAGUUUGCUAUGAAUUGGAAUUUUCGAAUCGACCUGUAGAAUGUAGCAAAUGCUACUUUUUAGUGAGGUAUAUAGUGUUUUGAGUUUUGACAUUGAUAUUGUGUUUCAUUGAGAAAAAAAUUGUGUGCAUUGCCAUUGUGUUAGGUACUCUCUGUUUGGUAUUUAGGUUGUUUUCAUGUUCGAAUGUGGUUGUUUAUUGAUGUUUUAUUUCGAGUUAACACUGCUAUACAUUUGUUCUUGCUCUCUCCUAUAUACCUUAGCUAACUGAAGAACUGUCAAAAGUGGAUGAAAAGCUGAAGUUGACCGAAUCUCUUCUCGACAGCAAGAAUCUUGGAAUCAAGAAAAUCAACGAUGAGAAGAAAGCAUCAAUGGCAGCUCAAUUUGCAGCAGAAGCUACUUUACGAAGAGCCCACGCAGCUCAAAAAGACGACGACAUGCCCCCAAUCGAAGCCAUCCUUCCACCUUUGGAAGCCGAACUCAAGCUAGCCAGACAAGAGGGAACGAUGAGGAUGCGAGUGACCCAACUGCAUUUAAAGAAUUCACAAUGGACCAACUUAAAAAUGCAAAGGGAAUUGGGUGAACCAAAUGUGUUACAACUAAGUAAAAUGUCUUUGUAGUUUUUAAUUAAAGAUUCUAUACUAAGUGAAGUGAGGUUAUAUAUGUUUGGAUUAUAAUAGUUUUCUCUAGCCUCUCACAUGUACUAAGGGGUGUUAUAUAUGUUUGGAUUAUAACA